rfam:Schistosoma curassoni strain Dakar, Senegal genome assembly, scaffold: SCTD_scaffold0003736
AUCCAGCUGAUGAGUCCUAGGUAGGACGAAACGCAUGUCCUGGAU